rnacentral:rRNA from 1 species
GAUGAACGCUAGCUACAGGCUUAACACAUGCAAGUCGAGGGGCAGCAUGAGCUCAGUUAUUCUGGGUUUGAUGGCGACCGGCGCACGGGUGAGUAACGCGUAUCCAACCUGCCCUUUACGCGGGGAUAGCCUUCUGAAAGGAAGUUUAAUACCCGAUGGCAUCAUGAGUUCACAUGUUCACAUGAUUAAAGGUAUUCCGGUAGACGAUGGGGAUGCGUUCCAUUAGAUAGUAGGCGGGGUAACGGCCCACCUAGUCUUCGAUGGAUAGGGGUUCUGAGAGGAAGGUCCCCCGCAUUGGAACUGAGACACGGUCCAAACUCCUACGGGAGGCAGCAGUGAGGAAUAUUGGUCAAU